rnacentral:rRNA from 1 species
UACGGAGGGUGCAAGCGUUAAUCGGAAUUACUGGGCGUAAAGCGAGUGUAGGCGGCUAUGUAAGUCGGAUGUGAAAUCCCCGGGCUCAACCUGGGAACUGCAUUCGAUACUGCAUGGCUAGAGUCUGAUAGAGGGAAGUGGAAUUCCAGGUGUAGCGGUGAAAUGCGUAGAUAUCUGGAAGAACACCAGUGGCGAAGGCGGCUUCCUGGAUCAAGACUGACGCUGAGGCUCGAAAGCGUGGGGAGCAAACAGG